UGGCUCUGCCCGUCUUCCUGAACUGAAACCAUGGAGGUGGAGGUGGCGUUAGCACGGCCUCCUCACUCUCCCUACCCCGCCCUAGCCUUCUCCGCCUCCUCGCGGGCACGGCCGUCGAGCGGGUUCUGGAGGCGCCAUGCGGCGGCCGGCCUCCUUCCACCUGCCUCACUGCCCCCACUAUCGGUUCGAAUCAAACAGCGGCAGCAGCUGGUGUUUCUUUCUCAAAAGAUAGGAGUAUUUGGGGUUGCGGGGGUUCGGCUGAAUCCCCAUUCCCCAAUGUUCGCUCCUUCCCUGCGAUUUUUUACUGAGGUUUGUUGUUAAUGUUGGGAAGGAUGAUCUGUUUCUUCUUAUAUCAUUUCUGUGUGAUGCUGUCAAUGGGGAAACAAUGUGCGUCCACCUGCAAAGGCAGCAACUGGAGAUACCGACAGAUGGGAUUGGAGCUUAACAAGUUUGCAAGCCUCUCUGGAAACCAAUCCCACUACACUAUUCAUGAUUAACCUCUGCACCAAAUGGAUUUCAGACAUUUUCCACACAGGUCAGCAAACGGAAUUUUGGUCAUUGCGUUAUUCGUUUUAUUGGAGAUUUGAAAGUGAAAAGUGUUGGAUUGCUGAUUAUCAGUUGUGUGAAUCUGUAGCAAUGAGUUGAUGACUUGUCUUAGUUCAUAAAAAGCUACAGGUUGCAAUUGACCAUUGUAAUUAUAUAUCAUGUGCAUCUUGUCUCAAAGAAUUCACCAGGUGAGGUGGAGCAUCUUUCAGCUCUAAGAGAUAACAUAAGAGUUGACAUGUCGCACAUGUCCUACCAUUGGCCAACAUGUUCCGUAUUAAAUGACAUACUACAGCUUCAAAAUCCAUCUUUUUACAGUACUAAAGUUGGGAUUGUAGGGUAGAGACUAGAGAGGAAUUAUGUAAUAGCUACACUUUGAUUUCCUGAAUGGACAACCAUGGUGAAACAACACAUUCAAAAAAAUGAAUAAACAUUGCACAAAGGAGGCACGAUUAUAUGCCCA